AGCUCAACUGUAGAACGGCCUUUGAUACUGAAAGACUUGAGUUAUUGUGAAGUGGUUAGAAUGUGUGGUGUAGCGGUGAAAUGCAUAGAUAUCACACAGAAUACCAAUUGCGAAGGCAGAUCACUAACAAUAUACUGACGCUCAUGGACGAAAGCGUGGGGAGCGAACAGGAUUAGAUACCCUGGUAGUCCACGCCGUAAACGAUGGAUACUAGCUGUUCGUCUAACAUUGGUUAGAUGAGUGGCUAAGCGAAAGUGAUAAGUAUCCCACCUGGGGAGUACGGUCGCAAGACUGAAACUCAAAGGAAUUGACGGGGGCCCGCACAAGCGGUGGAGCAUGUGGUUUAAUACGAUGAUACGCGAGGAACCUUACCAGGGCUUAAAUGUAAAGUGACAGGUCUAGAGAUAGACUCUUCUUCGGACUCUUUACAAGGUGCUGCAUGGUUGUCGUCAGCUCGUGCCGUGAGGUGUCAGGUUAAGUCCUAUAACGAGCGCAACCCCUAUCGUUAGU
rnacentral:rRNA from 1 species